rnacentral:RNase_P_RNA from 1 species
UGAGCAAGUCGGACGGUCGCGUGAGGAUUCCUCAUGAGGAAAGUCCGGACUCCGUAGGGCAAGGGUGCCGGAUAACGUCCGGUGAAGGUGACUUUAAGGAAAGUGCAACAGAAACACACCGCCGAAACAGGGGCUUGUCUUGUUUGGAUCGGUAAGCCCAAUCCGUCCAAAAAAGACAAGCCCGCUGUGGUAAGGGUGAAAUGGUGAGGUAAGAGCCCACCGGGGGCAUGGAGACAUGUCCGCCGUGUAAACCCCACCCGGUGCAAGGCCAAGCAGAGCGAAAGUCCGCGUAUGCGGAUGGUGGCGGCCCGUCACCGCUCGGAAUGGUAGGCCGCAGGCGGAUACCGUUCGGUAUCCCGGAGGGCGGCGGCAACGUCGCUCCCAGAUAGAUGACCGUCUUUAACAGAAUCCGGCUUAUUGACUUGCUCAACAU